UGUAAAGUUCAAGCUCCGAUUAUGAGGGCGAACCGCGAAUGGCUCAUUAAAUCAGUCAUGAUCUACUUGAUUGUUUAAAGUUAUAUGGAUAACUGUGGUAAUUCUAGAGCUAAUACAUGCGUGAAAGGGGCGACUCGGCGACGAGAAGCUCUGCGUUUAUUAGACUAAGACCGGCGUUGUUGGCAACAACAACUCUUAUACGGUGGUGACUCUGAGUAAAUAAUGGGUGCAAGCCCAUGUUGCCGACCUGGCAUUCAAACCGCCGUCAAAAGCGGGCCAGGCGAAUCAAUCGAGUGUCUGCUCUAUCAACUGUGGAUGGUAGGGUAAUUGCCUACCAUGGUGGUGACGGGUAACGGGGAGUUAGGGCUCGACUCCGGAGAACAAGCCUGAGAAACGGCUAGUAGGACUAAGGUCUGCAGCAGGCGCGAAACUUACACAAUGCUAGAUUUCUAAUGAUUAGCGAUGUAGUGAAGAAAAAUAACGAUGUGCUUGUAUUUAAAAAUACUUGCACAAUUGGAAUGAGACGACCUUAAAACAGUCAGUCGAGUAACAAAUGGAGGGCAAGUCUGGUGCCAGCAGCCGCGGUAAUUCCAGCUCCAUUAGCAUACAUUAAAGUUGUUGCGGUUAAAAAGCUCGUAGUUGAAUUUUGGACGAACGCUUGGACGCGGCGGCCGUCAAGGCGGCGCUUCGGCGCUCGCUGGUCGUCGUUUGUCUGCGGCGCUCGUUGUUUCGUCACUUAAUCGAGUGCGAAGCGGGCCGGUGUGAAAACAGAGCUUCGGCUCUUCGCAACGGCAUGUUUACCUUGAGAAAAUUAGAGUGCUCAGAGCAGGCAGUUGGGGUGUAAAAGCCUCUUUAUGCUUGAAUAAUGUUGCAUGGAAUAAUAGAAUACGGCCUCGGUUCUAUUCUGUUGGUCUUAUAGAACAACAAACAAGUUGGUUUGGGGCGUCAACGGGUGUUGGUUGGCGUGGCUUGAGGGUGCUUGUUGUCUAGGAGUAAAAUCUUAGUACCAUCGCUCGAUAGUCAUCAAAGCGCCUUCUUUCUAUCCAGCCCCUCCAACUGAGGCAAUGGUUAAAAGAAAUAGUCGCGGCGGCAUCAGUACUGCAUCGUGAGAGGUGAAAUUCUUAGACCGAUGCAAGACUAACUGAAGCGAAAGCGUUUGCCGAGGAUAUUUUCAUUAAUCAAGAACGAAAGUUAGAGGUUCGAAGGCGAUCAGAUACCGCCCUAGUUCUAACCAUAAACGUUGCCAACUAGCAAUUGGGUUGCGAUUCCUUUAGUUGGAGCCUAAAAACUCCAACCAUUAUGAUCCACCCAGCGGCUCUCGUAGGGAAACCAAAGUGUUUGGGUUCCGGGGGAAGUAUGAUUGCAAAGUUGAAACUUAAAGGAAUUGACGGAAGGGCACCACCAGGAGUGGAGCCUGCGGCUUAAUUUGACUCAACACGGGGAAACUUACUAGAUUAGAACUCUGGAAUGAUUGACAGAUUGAUAGCUCUUUCUUGAUUCAGAGGAUGGUGGUGCAUGGCCGUUCUUGAUUCGUAUUCCGAAACGUCUGCUUAAUUGCGAUAACGAGUGAGACCUCUUGAUGUUAACUAGUUGCUUGGUGCGCUGUGGGACGCAAAAGUUGGUGUAAGUUCUCGUUUGUAUUAGCUUUCGGGUUAGUGCAAGCUCCUUGCAUCAAUGUCCUCUGCUCGCCAGCAGACUUCUUAGCACGAUUUGCGGCAAAAAGCCGCCAGAGACGAG
rnacentral:rRNA from 1 species